CCUACGGGGGGCAGCAGUGGGGAAUAUUGCACAAUGGGGGAAACCCUGAUGCAGCGACGCCGCGUGAGUGAAGAAGUAUCUCGGUACGUAAAGCUCUAUCAGCAGGGAGGAAAAUGACGGUACCUGACUAAGAAGCCCUGGCUAACUCCGUGCCAGCAGCCGCGGUAAUACGUCGGGGGCAAGCGUUAUCCGGAUUUACUGGGUGUAAAGGGAGCGUAGACGGCAGCGCAAGUCUGGAGUGAAAUCCCGGGGCUUAACCCCGGAAUUGCUUUGGAAACUGGGCGGCUGGAGUGCAGGAGGGGUAAGCGGAAUUCCUAGUGUAGCGGUGAAAUGCGUAGAUAUGAGGAGGAACACCGGUGGCGAAGGCGGCUUACUGGACUGUAACUGACGUUGAGGUUCGAAAGCGUGGGGAGCAAACAGGAUUAGAUACCCCAGUAGUC
rnacentral:rRNA from 1 species